AAUGGUCUCGUUAGUCCGAUCCAAUAAUAGUUGGACAAGUUGCAUGACAAUUCUCAUAACCAGGCGCUAUCGCUGAUAUCCCCUCCUUUUGAGUCCACACCUUAGCAUUAUAAGUUUAUUAGCUUUUAUAUCACUUCGGAAAUGUUCAAAUGGAGUCUUUAUGUCAUCAAAAAUUUUAGGUCUGGUUAAGUGGUUUAAGGAAGAUAAAGGCUUUGGUUUUAUCUCCCCUGUAGAUGGCAGCAAAGAUGUUUUCGUGCAUUUCUCUGCCCUUCAGGGAGAGAACUUCAAAACACUUUUUGAAGGUCAGAAAGUCGAAUUUAUCAUCGUAAGCGGCGAUAAAGGCCCUGCUGCUGCGAAUGUAACGCUUUGCGAUAAAUAAUAUCAGCACACAGCCGCGUUGACGAUGAUGUUGCUUCU
rnacentral:sRNA from 1 species